UGUCCAUCUGAGUUUGGUAAGAGAGGUGCCUUUUGCUAUGCUAUCACCAUGCUGAUACCCUCAGAUUUGUAAGCAGGCACAGCUGGGCUGAAUCAUUGCUUGGAUGGCAAAAGCUGCAAGGAAGAGGUCCAGGAUGGAAUUCCCCCCCCCCCCGAUUUACCAGUAGCACAAUUGUUAGAAGUGUCCAUAUGCAGCAGCAAUGCUUUCUUCUAGUACAGGGGAAAUAUCCAACAUCUGCUGGAAUUUCAGUUUUCUCACCACGCUGUUUUUGUCAUCAGCCUGCUCUUACCACCCACUAAUCUCUGCUCUCCUUUGUUAAAGAAACAGUAAAAGGUUUAGAGAAUUCCCUCAUAGGAGAGAGACUAUUUCUUUAUGGAGUAAGGAUAUAUGCCUCUUGACAGAAGAGUAGUGAAUGACCUCAUUCUGCACCGAAUAUUGCUGGAGCGUGAACGCCAUGUGGAAGAGACAGCAGUGACAAAAAACACGCCGAUUAAAAUGUUGAUACAAUCAGGGUGAGGAGGCAAACUAUUUUGCAACGUGUUUUUCUUACUUUAGAAUGUUAAGUAUGGGAAAAGUCCAGUGUAGGGUGGAGUUUCAGGUAAAUGCCAUAACAGAUAUCAAAUCCAGGAAUUCUCUCACAGUUUCAGGCUCCUGUCAGCUCAUCUGUACAACGUCUUGCCUGCAUGGAUAUCCUGAUAAUAGACAGAAUCACCCCUAGAGGGCUCCAUGGCACAUACUAUAAUACUAGGUCCCAUCGUGAAUACCUACCGUUGAAGCCAGUGAGUAUUGCACAUGCUUGAUACCUUUCAGUCGUGUCAGGUCUAAUAAUAUAUAGCAUUUAUCUUCAACAUGCAGUGCAAGACAGUGUGGCCUAAUGGAGAGAGCACUAAAAUUCAGGAGACUUGGGUUCCGUUUCCAGCUCUGUGAGUGGCCUAUGGAGCGAGGCACUUCUCCAUAUGGAGAUAAUGAUACUGACCUCUGUUUUAAAGUGCUGUGAGGUCUACGGAUGAAAAAUGCUGUAAGAGCUAGCUAUAGUUAUUACAACUAUUAACUAAUUCAUCCUCACAACACCCCUAAGUAUCUACUAUCAUUCUUAUUUCAUAGUUGGGGAAACUGAGCCACACUGCCAGCGAGAUCUAGCAUUAGAACCCAGCAGUUCCUGGAUCCCAGGAUUGUGCUCCUUUUAAUUGAGCAGACUGCACCCAUACCACAUUACAUAUACACAGUGCUUGACAGGAGCAACAUGCUCUUUUAUUACUGCUAAGUAAGGUACAAGAAGUAUGAUUGCAAAGAGCAUCCUUUGGAAUAGGAUGGCCUAUAAAUCAGACAAACUGAUGGUUAAUAUUUUAUGAAGUAGGUUAUAUUCCACAUGGGGAGUAAAUAAAAACCAGAUCCAUUCAUCAUGUAGUCAUUGGAAGUUUUAAAAACAGUUUAACUUUCUGGACCAAGACCAAAGCAGGUGAUGUGUAUAUUUCCUUUCUUGACAUCAGAAGCAAAGUGUGCCCUGUGCACGAAUGACCAGACAGAGCAGUCUGCUACAGCUGAAAUCGCUUUCUACAAAUGUGCACCCAAACAUUCAAACACAUACUUAUACUUAUGGGCUUAAGUAGCAUGGAAGAGGUGUAUGGGCCUCCUGCUGGGAUUUAGCAUGGGGCGAGUUUCUCUCUGUGUGAAUUAGAAGGGACAUAUCACAUGAAUACAAAAUAAUGCAUGGAUCAGAGGAGGUAAAUUGUGCACUCCUAUUUGCCCUUUCUCAUUAUACAAGAACAGGAGAUGGUCGUCAAAAGUGAAAGGCAACAAAUUUAAAACUGAUAAACGGAAAUCUAUAUACAAUGCAUAAUCUGUGGAACUCAUUGCUACAAGAUGUUAAA